GAUGAACGCUGGCGGCGUGCCUAAUACAUGCAAGUCGAGCGAACAGACGAGGAGCUUGCUCCUCUGACGUUAGCGGCGGACGGGUGAGUAACACGUGGAUAACCUACCUAUAAGACUGGGAUAACUUCGGGAAGCCGGAGCUAAUACCGGAUAAUAUAUUGAACCGCAUGGUUCAAUAGUGAAAGACGGUUUUGCUGUCACUUAUAGAUGGAUCCGCGCCGCAUUAGCUAGUUGGUAAGGUAACGGCUUACCAAGGCAACGAUGCGUAGCCGACCUGAGAGGGUGAUCGGCCACACUGGAACUGAGACACGGUCCAGACUCCUACGGGAGGCAGCAGUAGGGAAUCUUCCGCAAUGGGCGAAAGCCUGACGGAGCAACGCCGCGUGAGUGAUGAAGGUCUUCGGAUCGUAAAACUCUGUUAUUAGGGAAGAACAACUGUGUAAGUAACUAUGCACGUCUUGACGGUACCUAAUCAGAAAGCCACGGCUAACUACGUG
rnacentral:rRNA from 1 species